AGAAGAACAAUAAGAAGAGCAAACCUAGGAAGUCUAAGAAAAUAAGAAGACGCGACAGUGAAAGUGAUGAUUCUUCUGCCGAUGAUAGUGACAGAGAUGUCAUCAGGAAUAAUGCAAAAGGUGAAACGGAGAAAAGAUGGAAGUCUGAUGAUAGGAGGCGUGACUUUGAGUCUGAUGAUGAUUCUGGUUCUGACUUUGGGCCCUCCAAACGUAGACUUGCGCAGGCGAGAGAUGAUGCCAAAACAAGAAAGCGCCAUGAUUCCGAUGAUGAAUAUAAUGCUGAUGCUUUCGCUAAGGAGGAGAGGAUUGAGGAUGAAAGGCACUCUAGAGGCAAGCUUGGAAAUGACAAAGAUGAGAUCAGAGAUGGCCAUCGGAGGGAUGGCAGACACGCUAAGGAAGAACGUCACGGCAGAGAUGCUAAGGAAGAACGUCACGGAGGAGAUGCUAAGGAAGAACGUGGAAGGGACGGGAGAGAUGCUAAGGAGGAAUGUGGAAGGGGCGGCAGAGAUGCUAAGGAAGAACGUGGAAGGGACGGCAGAGAUGCUAAGGAAGAACGUGGAAGGGACGACAGAGAUGCUAAGGAAGAACGUGGAAGGAACGGCAGAGAUGCUAAGGAAGAACGUGGAAGGGACAGCAGAGAUGCUAAGGAAGAAAGUGGAAGGGACGGCAGGGACAUCCAUGACAGAAGAGACAAAAGGGACAGACUUGAAAGUGACAGAAGGGAUAUUCAGGAGGAAAAUGGUAGAGACAGAGGGGACAAGAGGGAAGAGCUCGGGAGGAGCAGAAGGCACACUAGGGAAGAGUACAGAAAUGACAAAGUCGGUGCCAAGGAAGAGCGUCGAAGUGAUAAAGGGGAGAUCAGGGAAGAACGUGGAAGAGACAAAAUGGAGGUUAGGGAAGAUCAUGGAAGUGAUAAAAGGGAGAUCAGGGAAGAACGUGGAAGAGACAAAAGGGAGGUUAGGGAAGACCAUGAAAGCAGAGAAGAACGCGGGAUAGAGAGAAGGGAGAUCAGGGAAGAACGUGCAAGAGACAAAAGGGAGGGUAGGGAGGAUCGUGACAUCAGAAAAGAACACGAAAUGGGAAAAAGGGAGAUCAGGGAAGAACGAGGAAGAGACAAGAGGGAGGUUAGGGAGGGUCAUGAAAGCAGAAAAGAACACAAAAUGGAUGAAAGGGAGAUCAGGGAAGAACGUGGAAGGGAUGAAAGGGACAGCAGAGAAGAUCGUGAAACUAGAGCAGAACGCAGAAGGGAUGACAGAGAUACAACGGGAGAACGUAGAAGGGAUAGGGAGCAUGGCAGGGAUGAGGAUGCUCAUAGAAUUAGAAGCUACGACAGAGGUGAAGAGCAUGGUGAAAAGAGGAAAAGCUAUACUGACAAAGAUGAAGUUAAAAAACAUGGAAUUCGAAGAGAUGCAAGGGAGGAAGAUGAGACAGAAGCUAAAGUUCCAGAGCACGGUCGUUUGCCUUCGUCCAAACGAGCCCGUUAUGAUGACUCAGAUGAUGAAGAAGACAGACGCAGAGACAGUCGCCGUGGUCAUCGAGAUUGAUCCCUCUUGUGGAAUGGUAAGUCUGACUCACCGUCAUUCCUUUUUAGAGUAGACUUUCCUGCGAUCAUGAGCAUCUGGGAAAUAGGCUAAAUUCUUCUGUUACUUAUUGUGUACUGUUGGAUUCGUUUUUUCAUGUUUCAGGAUGGUUUGCAUCAGUGAGGCCCUCGGUGAAGGUAUCUGUCAGUUGAGACGAAGAACAAGAAGAAGAGCAAACCAAGGAAGUCUUCAGAAAACCGUAAACCUUCAAACCUCUGUGAAUGUUAUUCCGCUUAUGAGAUUAUGCUGUUAUUCCGCUUUUCGAGUUCUUCAGAAUUUCCAGUACAUUUCAACAAUAUUACUUCUCUUCCUCCAUGACUUAUGCUGUUGCUGAUGAGCGUUUAUCUGAUUUUGAAUUCUGCUCUCUUUCAUCUAGUAUGUGGAAACCG
rnacentral:lncRNA from 1 species